GAUGAACGCUAGCUACAGGCUUAACACAUGCAAGUCGAGGGGUUUGCUUCGGCAAACGACCGGCGCACGGGUGAGUAACGCGUAUCCAACCUGCCUCUCUCAUUGGGAUAGCCCUCCGAAAGGAGGAUUAAUACCGAAUAACAUAAUGUGUUUGCAUGAAUUCAUUAUGAAAGCUCCGGCGGAGAGAGAUGGGGAUGCGUGACAUUAGAUAGAUGGCGGGGUAACGGCCCACCAUGUCCACGAUGUCUAGGGGUUCUGAGAGGAAGGUCCCCCACACUGGAACUGAGACACGGUCCAGACUCCUACGGGAGGCAGCAGUGAGGAAUAUUGGUCAAUGGCCGGAAGGCUGAACCAGCCAAGUAGCGUGAAGGAUGAAGGUUCAUGGAUUGUAAACUUCUUUAUGAGGGAAUAAAACCUCCACGUGUGGGAGCUUGUAUGUACUUAUGAAUAAGCAUCGGCUAA
rnacentral:rRNA from 1 species